rnacentral:rRNA from 1 species
AGUUUGGUCUCAAAUCAGGUAGGAUUACCCGCUGAACUUAA